CACCUGGACUAGAACUUUUUACCCCAAUUUAAAUAGGUCUCAACCAAUCCUAACUCCUAUAGGAUUCUGAAUCAAGCUCUUUAAUCACUUAGAUUCAACCCUUGACUCUUGGCAUCUUUUCUGACUCGAAGCAUCCUUAGCUUCUGAGGAAUCCUUAUUGUACUAGGAUUCGACCACUUCACCCUUAUCCAGAUGGAACCAUCUUCUGAUAAGAUUCGGCCGAACUCUACUGGGCCAGGUCCAAGGUGGGAAUAUUCCUGAUACUUCUUACUAGACUGAGAACAAUCAUGAGCUCGGCCCAAAGUAUUAUUUUGGGUCCAAACAAAAGUAUCAUUUUUUUGCCUAGGGUUACAUAAAGUAUCUUUUUUUUUUUUUUUUUUUUGCUACGGUUACAUUUCUUAUGGUUUUAAUGAGUAGAGAAGGAGAAUAAUGGUUCUAUUCUUCUCACAAGAAGGUGAAUUUAUAAAACACAGGGCAAUACAAUCCUGAACAAUAAAAGAAAUAAAACUAAUUACAAUAAUUACUCUGAUAACUAGGAAUCCUAAAUAUUCAAAAGUCAAAACUCCUCCUCAAGUUGGCACAUAGAUAUCACACAUGCUCAACUUGAAUAAGAACCUAGUAAAUACACGACAAUCAACUGCCUUUGUGAGUAUAUCCGACAACUGAUCUUCUAUUCUAAUAGUUGGUACUUCAAUGAUCUUCCCAUGGAUCUUCUGUUUGAUAAAACAUCAGUCCACUGGAACAUAUGUUGUCCGUCAUGAUGUACUGGAUUAUGCGCAGUCAUGUGCUGGUUGAUUGUUACAAAAUAAUUUCUUAGGCUGAGAAUUAUGUUGUCCCAAAUAUUCGAAUCCAUAAUAUUUCACAAAUCCCCAAUGCCAUUUCACAGUAAUUUGCUUUUGCACUAGACCAGCUACCACAUUUCAUUCAUUACUCUUUCAUGUAACUGAAUUAGAUCCCACAAAUGUAUAGAAACGCGAUGUGGAACGCCUAUCAUCAAUUGAUCCUUCCCAGACAACAUCAGUAUACCCUUCAACUUAGAGAUGGUUAUUCUUCUUGAAUAGUAUUGAUGCGUAAAAUAACUAAACACACAAAUUAAACCCUCUUUUUAUCAAUUGUAGUAAAGUAUGUAAGUAGGGAUCGUUCUAGGCCGGGGAUUAGGAGGGAUUGCUAAAUCACUUGGAAACUGACUUGAAAACGUAAAAACAAAGUUUAAAACACUAACUAGACUCAAAGAAUGCAAAACUAUACUUUAAAACAUUAAAACAAACCAAAAGACUCAAAACAGCCCCUAAACACUCAAAACUACCUUAAAAACACAAUCUGGGCAAUUUUGGGACUCUCACACAAACUUGGACAAAUUUUGGUUUUCUAAUGAACUAAAACACUUAAAAACAUAAUCUAAGACAAGUUCUAAUUAAUAUGACUCAAAGAAAUAAGAUGGGGUUGAUUUUCGACGAAAAUAAUUAAAUUAAGACAAGAACAAAGUAAACAAAUUCUUAGACAAAUUUGGGUAAAUCAAAACACUCUAACACACAACCAAAACAGAAAUUAAACACUUUGAAACAAUAAAGUAAAAGGGGGAUUUUGGUUUUAAUGAAUUUGAAAACAAAAACAACUUUGUAAAACAAAACAGAUUGUAAGUGAAUUUGAAUGAAACUUAUGGAUGGAAGAUUAGCUAGGAGGUUCUUCUCCACAUAUGUCACACUUGCAUACAAAACGAUUUCCAGUUGCUUUUCGAUAAGCUAUGAAUACUCAACGCCCCAAAUUAACCGUGAAUUGCACUAAUUAACCCUCAGUUUUUUCCACAAGUUAUUAGGUUGGAUGAUUGCAUACGACAACCCAAAACAUUCCCUACAAGUUCCCUACAUGAAUUGCAUAAUAGAGAUACAAGCAAGAAUCAUUAAGUUCUAUGAAAAACAUAAGCAUUGACGAGGCACUCGUUACUAUGAUUUGCAUGAAACUUAUGCCAAGAGUUUACUUAACGUGAUUGUGACUAGCAACCUUCACUACUUGUGAAUAUAAGUUUAUAACGAUUAGGUGAAACUCCCUUAUAUUCUAGCGUCAAAUUCAUGCAUGAAAAUUAAGCGUGCACUCUUAACCAACAUACACAAAUUAGAUUUUAUAUGAACGGAUAAGUAAAUUGAAUUCACAACUUAUGAAUCACAACUGGAUGUAAUCAAAUCAUAUUGCAAGUAUGAACAUAGUUUCGAAUCACCCCCUAACUAAGAGGGGUUUAGUUCCUCAUACUCACAAAGCAAAGAUACAUAAAAUUAGACAUUAAAAUCAAAGGAAAGAAAACACCUAAAAUGCUCCAACUUGGUAGCAAGUGCAUCCAAGAUUCCUCCUUUCCUUAUGCUUGCGGCAGAUUGGGUUAUGGACAGAUUUUGGGUAGUUUUAUGAUGUAGAAUGGAUGGGGAAUGGUAUGGAAGGGUUUAGGGUGAGUGUGGAGGAGUGUUUGAUGGUUGGAGGGUGGUGGAGAACUAGGCAAAGAGGGUGGAAGAAGGUGGAGUGGCUGUUAUGUUUUCUAGGCACUAGAAUGGUGUUUUUGGGGUGUUUUGCUUCCUAGGGUGUGUAUGGACGAAUUUUUGUGAUAAAAUGAUGAAUAUGGGGGAUUGUCCUUUGGCCAAGGGGUGUAAACAUGUAUUUAUAGGCCCUAAAAACCUUAGAAAAUCAGGUUAGGUUAAGGAUGAAAUGCAUGGCAAUUUGUGUGUGUGGUGUGCAAUGGUCCAAGGGUGAAAAUGAAGUAAUGAUGCAAAGUGUGAAGGGUAAAAUGGAGUGGUGUUGUAGCUAGGGAGCAUGAAUGAUUGUGUACAUUGCAUAGAGAUGGAAAGGGAGGUGAAAUGUGUCAACAAAUGGGUCAAAGGUGCAACAACAUGUGUUGCACAUGGCAUUGGAUUCCAAAUGUGAAUGAUGGAGCAUCAAUUGGUGCAUGUAAUGGAUGUAAAUGUUGUCUAAAAUCUAAUGAGUGAAAGGAACAUGAGGUAUCAAGCAAUUGAGUGUAAUAAUUAAAUGAAUUGAAGCAUGAAAUUAGAAAUUAUGUAGGGGACAAGAGUGAUCAAGCAUGGCAUGGAAUCCAAAGGGAAUUCUAUGUGGCUUGCAUGGCAAGGAAUGCAAGUUGGGGUGACAGAUUUUUGGGCUGUUUUCUUCAUCUUUUGGACCAUAAUUCUUCAUAUUCUUGGCCUCUUUAGUUCUCAAAUUCGUCCAUCCACUUGGCCCAUGCAUUUGCUAUCGAUUCCAAGCCCGAAACAUGCUCCAAAGGCCUCCAAAAUGCAUCUUCUUGCAUACUUUGUACUUAGAGUCUGAAAACACACUAAAAUAACUUUGAACACUAAAAUAACUAAGGAAAUACAACGUAAAUGCACAAGAACAAGCUAACUAAGUCGCAUAAAUAUGCUCCUAUCAAAUUCCCCCACACUUAGCUUUUGCUAGUCCUCGAGCAAACAAAGAAAUAAAACGAAACAAAACAAAUAAAAUACAACCUAAACCUUCCAACAUUUGCCUCAGGGAUUCCAAUGCAUAUGACAUGUUAAAAAUCAUUAUCCCCACAGAUUUGAAUCAUCUUCACACUUAAACACGUACUUAAUCAUAGUCACUACUUACUUGUUCACAAUUAAUCGAUUAAAACAAUGUUUUUGAUGUAGUAACAUGCCUUAGAGAAUUUACUCAAUUCCUUUCAAAGUAUGCACUCAAUUUUCACUCAGAUUUUCUAACUACACACCCUAUACUAGUUAUAUGUGAGAAGAUUGAUGUAGAUAUGAAAACGAACGCUCACAUAUAUGUAUCACAAAGAAAGCAAUUUCUGGAGUUAAUAAGCAAGUUUAGAUAUGAUCUCAUGAAUGAAAUGCUACUACUUAGAUGCGAGAACCAGUGACACCAUAUGCUCAUACCAAAUUCAAACUCCACAUAUUGAAACGCAUGACACUCAAGAUGAAGUUAAGGGUUGUAACGGGGCUUGGGGUGAUGGCUAACAAAUGAAGGAUAAGGAUAACAAUCGUUCUUAAAGCAAUAGCAAGUAAAGUAAUGAAAUUGAAACUUAGAAUUCACUUAGAUUGCAGAAAUCAGCUUUUAGACACGAAGGGAAAAUUCAAGCAAUAAUUAGGGCCGAAUUCUAUGUUUUGGACCCUUUCUUCAACAAGCAGCACUUUAAAACUCUUUUUCGCAUAUUUUUUCAACUCUUUUUUUUUUUUUUUUUUUUUUUCAACUCUUCUUUUCUUUUCAACAAGCAUAAUAACUCACACUUCCCCCACACUUGUUUUCUGCCAUACAUUAAUCAAAAGAAAAUUCAAUUUGAAUCAUGUUUUACUAUGCUUCAAGAACAAGGGUAUGGAUGGUCCUAAACUAGGCUAGGUAAGGAUAAUGUGGUUUAACAAAGAAUGUAGGCUAUCAAGGCUCAAUGGGGUUAACUUAAACAUAUAACAAUAUGGGAUACAUGGCAGUUUGGCUUUGGUGGUGGUAACUACACAACUUCAUCUUGAAUAUGUUUUAUGCAAAUCAAUAGCAUGCUUUGAAUGAAAUAGGCAUGAGUUCUAGCAUUUGGACUAAAUGAUGAAACGCCUUCUAAGUAAUAACCAAGCAAAGAAUAAUGAGAUCAUGCAACGACUUUAGAAAACAAGAAUGCACAGAUUUUAACUCUCCAAAUAAACGUUUAAGCUCAAGUCUCACAAGGUUGGAGCGUUAGUUUGAGUUCUUUCCUUCAAGCAUGUUACAAAAACUAAUUUUUUUUCUUUUAUGAUUACAUGUGAUUUCAUAAGUUAUAACCACAACCACGCAUAAAUAAAGAGUAAAUCAAACUUUCAUCCAUGUUUAUAACUCUCUUUAACAGUCAUGUAAUUACAAACCGAAUCCUCAUCAUUGUGUUGGAAGGUACCCUAAGACACAAAUAAGCGCACAAAAACAACUCUUUUUUGGAUUUUCAAAAACAAUUUUUCAAAUUUUUAUGAAUUUUCGGAUUUUUAUGUCAAAACACACUGAAACACUCCAAAACAGCUUAAAAAAAAAUACUUAAAACAACAAGGAACAACACUAGAAGUAAUGGGUGAUAAAUUUCUACGAAUUUCAUGCAAAACAAUGGUUACCCCCCCACACUUAAAUCAAACAUUGUCCUCAAUGUUUCAAGCAUAUACUCACACCAAAAACAAGCAAAUAAUAAACGACAAAUAAACAUGACAAAUAUGGCAAAGUAAAAACCAGACAGAGUAGAGUUUAAGAACGCAAAUCUGGUUUUGGAGAUAGUUGAUCUUGUUGACUUUCCACAGCUUUGAUCUUGAACUGGAUUGGAAUUGUAUGGCGAAGCUUUUCUCUUUGGCGAUGUUGCAAUUCCUUAUUUGUACUCCAAGCAGAUGUGGCAGCUUCUCUAGUUCUUCAUCUCAGACUCCUUCCGCUGGGAUGAUUGUGCAAGCUGCAUUCUUCUCUGCUUGUUUCUUCUGCACGACGGGCAGGCACGAGGGAGAGGUGUUGGUCUGUUUCUUUCUUCAAUCUUUCCAAGUGCCCACCUCUUGCUUUCUUUCUCCUUGUCCCUAGUUGAGGAUGAAUCAGCACGUUGUCUCCACAUGCUUCGAGGUAUCAUCUUCACUUCCCUUAUACGUGAGAGACGAAGCGGAAGCAUAAAAUGAUGAGUACUCGAGAGCAGGUGCUGGCUGGAGAAAGGACAGGGACAAAGCAUGAUAUGAGAUACUCGUGCUCUCAACCUUUAUGAUAUGAAAUACUUGUGCUCUGGAUGGGUUGUUUGCAGGGGUAUCCCAGGGGAUGAAAAAUACAGAGUGACUUGAGAGGGUUUGUUGGAAAGCCAUUUCAAAGAGGAUGAAGGGUUAAGUGAGGCUGAAAGUUGGGUGAGACUGCUUCACUUUGAAGUUCAACAUUUAUAGAAUUUUCUUAAUGGCUGGGAAGGCAUUGUUCCAUUACUCGUGUCGGCAAGCCUGGGAUGAUUUAACAGUAGUUUUCACGUGCAUUCCGCUUCUCCAAAAUUUUUCGACAGAUUGCGCGUGAUAUACGCAACGCAGAUGUGCAAAUUGACAGAUGCUGACACGUCUCGAUAAAGCAGAGGUCUCUUUAAUAUCCGGAAUUUACGCUUCGAGUUCUGAGCUUCGUUGAGGGCAGAGAUUGCAUGUGACAAGUGCUGACGAGGCUGAGAGAGACAGAUGGUUGGAAUCGGUGCUUCGACAGACUGCCCGUGAUUUUCGCAAAGCUGAGUUGCGUGUGAUGGGUGCUGACGAGGCUGAGACAGUUGACGCUCUUCGGUAUCUGGAAUUGGUGGUUUGUGAGCAAGCCCAACUUUUGAGAAAGCUGACGCCUCUUCGAUCUCCGAAUGGCUUCUUCGAUUUCUGAGCUCACCUCUUCGAUCUCUGAAAUCCCAUCGCGUGCUGAUUUUUAUAGAGGUAUGCAGGACGUUCAAAGCACACUUGAAUUUCUGCCUGUAAAAACUCCCGUUUUGCACUUCUACGAUCUUGACUUGUCCGAUCUCCUCUUUCUUUAACACCUCUGAAAAAUGUCUGGCCCUUUCGACCGUCGUUUUGACUUGAACCUUGAUGAAGGAGCAGCCCCUCCUUCUCCAGACAACAUAUGGCGCCCGUCCCUCAUAUCCCCUACUGGUCCUCUCACCGUUGGGGAUUCGGUGAUGAAAAAUGACAUGACCGCUGUGGUGGUGGCCCGGAACCUUGUCACCCCCAGAGAUAACAGACUGCUCGCUAGACGGUCUGAUGAAUUGGCGGUUAAGGAGUCUCUGGCUCUUAGCGUGCAGUGUGCGGGUUCUGUGUCCAACAUGGCCCAACGCCUAUUUGCUCGAACCCGUCACGUUGAAUCGUUGGUGGCUGAAAUACAGAGUCUCAAAGAGAAGAUUAGAGGACUCAAGCAUGAAAAUAAACAAUUGCACAAGCUUGCACACAAUUAUGCCACAAACAUGAAGAGAAAAAUUGACCAGCUGCAGGAAAAUGAUGGUCAGAUUUUACUUGAUCACCGGAGGUUUGUGGGUUUGUUCCAACCGCAUCUGCCUUCGUCUUCUGGGGCGGCACCGCGUAGUGAAGCUCCAACUGAUCAACCUCCGAUACCUCUUCCUUCUGUGGCCCCACCGACUGCUGAGACUCCGCCGACUACUGCAACUCCGCCGACUACUACGACCUCUCCCAAGCAGCCUUUGUGAAGGCUCCCUCUUGUAUUAUGCUAUGUUUCUUUAUUUCCCAGUUUGCUAUUCAUUUCCACGAAGUUUAAUGUUAAAAUCCUUUGCAUAUUUGUUAAUGUUUCAAAAUAGAAAAUCACAACAAAAAAUAAUUAAACAAGUAAUAAAAUUGACAAUCAAGCAGAAUAAAUGGGUUGCCUCCCUUAAAGCGCUUGCUUUAACGUCUUCCAGCCGGACGAUGAACACAAUUACUCCCCACUGGAGCCCACGGCAUGCAAGGGAAUGUCCUCCACAACAUGCUCAACAAAGUUCUCAUAGAUUACAUCCUUGAACGGAAAUGGAUAGUGAUGUUUGUUGAUGGGUGCGUUGUGUUGCCUAAGGUUCAUGUUCAUACACCCACCAUCGGGGAUUUGCUUGGGUACCUGCACCAAAGAAGGGAACCACCUAUCAACUUUAAUGGAAAUUGGAUUUGGAUUAGGUGGCUUACGUAUGUGUUGUGAUGAAGUGGCAGCAAUGUGAACAUUCUUCCCCAUGGUGCGUUCGGCCAAUUUGAGCAUUUUGAGAGCAGUGGCCGUAUGGUCCUUGUGCGCCACUCCAAUUCCCUCGUCUUGCAUGGUUCUUGAUGCAUCCUUUGUGCCUAGUGCUGAAUGGUCCGGUCCUAUAUUUUCUAUUUUAUCAAUGGCACAACAAGAAUGAACAACAUUAGGAGACUCAAUGGAUUCAGAAAUUUUAAAACUAAUCAUGUCACCACCAAAUGCCAUAGUUACUAAUCCUUUGGCCACAUCAAUCUUCGUUUGAGCCGUUUUCAUGAAUAGCCUUCCAAGGAGGAUGGGCAAUGAAGGGGCAUGGUCUGAUUCAUCCAUUUCGAGAACAUAGAAAUCCACUGGGAAGAUUAAAUGAUCAACCUGCACUAAAACGUCUUCCAAAACUCCCUUUGGAUAAGUGUUAGAUCUAUCGGCCAAUUGUAUGAUUACACCAUCAUUUUUCAAUGCUCCUAAGUUCAUAGAUGCAUAAAUGGAAUAUGGCAUAACAUUUAUAGAAGCACCUAAAUCAAGCAUGGCAGAUUUGAAACGGGUAUUACCAAUGACACACGGAAUUGUAAAACUUCCCGGAUCUUUGCAUUUGGGGGGUAGUUUAUGUUGCAAGAUGGCGGAGACAUUCUCACUUACAUGUACCACCUCUUUCUCCCGGACACGUUUCUUUGUUGUACAAAGCUUCUUUAAACACUUGGCAUACUUCGGGAUUUGCUUUAUGGCAUGAAGGAGGGGAAUGUUGACUUGCAAAAAUCUUUUUCCUCCUCUUCGUUCUUUGAUUGCAAAAAUCUGCUAGGAAAGGGGACAUUCAAAGGAAAAACAUUAGUAGGAAUUGAAUUUAACACAUUCUUACCCUUAUUGGACAGAUUUGAAGGUUUAGGGGCCAUGGACACUUGCGGCAUAGGCGUGUCCACCUUUGCCGUGGGUGGGCAUGCUUCCUCCUCCUCAAAUUGAAUUUUUCAUCCUCUUUGUGACCUGUUUUUGAUGAAGAACCUGCCCCAAUCUCUUUUCCACUUCUCAAGAGUAUGGCCUUUGCACUUUCAAAGCCUCCCUUCGGGUUUGGAAUGGUAGAACUAGGAAGCCUUCCUUGGUCUCUAAUCUGCCCAACAACGUCGGCAAUCUACCCCAUUUGUUUCUCUAGUUGGUCCACUCUUUUGUUUUGAUUUUCCUGCCCAUUAGUCAAAGUGGUUAGUAACUUAACAAGUGUAUCAUUAUCCAAAGCAUUACCUGAAUUAUUUGGGGCAGAUUGUGGUUGGACUUGAGGGGGUGCGUAUGGGUUGUUGUAGAAGCCCGGGGGUUGUUGCCUAAAGCCUCCUUGUGGUUGGGCUUGUUGUGGCUCUCUCCAUUUGAAGUUUGGAUGGUCUCUUCACCCCGGAUUACACGUGUUAGAGUAUGGAUCAUGUCUUGGCUGAUUUUGGCUUUGAAACCCAAUGGCAUUAGCACUCUCCCAUCCACCAUUCUCAAUGAGUUGAGGACACUUUUCGGAUGUAUGUCCUUGGAUAGAACAUAGGCCACACACCAUGGGUCCUUGAAUCUUCAUUCCCUCAGCCAUCUGUGAAACAAGAGAAGUAAGAUUAGCUAACUGAGAUUGAAUAUUGGAAGUGGACUUACCUCAUGCACUUGUUGCCGUAGGGGUCCUCUUUGGCCUACACCCUCGUAUUGUUGAGCGUUCAAUGCUCGAUUAGCAAUCAAGAUGUUUGCAGCCAUGGGCGUUUUGUCUACCAAUGCUCCACCUGCCGAGGCAUCGAGCAUUUGACGUUCUAGUGGUAGGAGCCCUUCGUAGAAGUAUUGCAAAAGCAAUUCCUCCUUCAUCUGAUGCUGUGGACAAGAAGCAACAAGUGAUUUAAAUCGUUCAUAAUAUGUAGGAAAAGACUCACCUUCAUCUUGUUGAAUUCCACUUAUUUUUUUACGAAGAAGAAUGAUGCGAGAAGUUGGGAAAAACUUCUCCGGAAACGCCCUCUUCAUACUCUCCCAAGAUGUAACUGUACCGGGAGCCAACUCGUAUAACCAAUCCUUGGCUUUGUCCAUUAAAGAGAAUGGAAAAGCCUUCAUCUUCAAAAUACUUCCGUCGACGUUAACCGGAGUCAUGCUUGAACACACCACUUCAAAUUCUUUUAAAUGCUUGUUCGGAUCCUCCAUGGACAGCCCAUGGAACUUUGGAAUGUGGUGGAGCAAACUUGACUUUAACUCGAACUCUUCGGUUUUACCUUGAGCAGCCAUGGGAUAUUGGAUACACAAUGGUGCGGCAUUAUCCAAACCCGAGGCGGCAAGCUCCUUGAGCGUACGGUUGUCCAUGGCUAUACCUUGCUCUUCUCCACCCACUUGUGCCGUGGGCUUCUCUUCAACCUCAACUUCUUGCUCUUCUAAUUCAGGCUCGGGACUAGGAUGAUUAGACUCUUGCAAAUUCUUUUUCCUUCUCAAAGUCCUCUCAAAAUCACCGUCAAAGUCGGAGAUAUGCUCACGAACAGGUUGUGAGCUACGGGUCAUAAACUAGUACCUAAAAACAAAGAAAACAAAACAAAUCAGCAACUUAAACAGAAACUUAACAAAAUACAAUAAUUCGAAAGAAAACAAUCCAAGAGAUUAGCAAAGUUGCUAAUCCCCGGCAACGGCGCCAAAAUUUGAUGCGUAAAAUAACUAAACACACAAAUUAAACCCUUUUUUUAUCAAUUGUAGUAAAGUAUGUAAGUAGGGAUCGUUCUAGGCCGGGGAUUAGGAGGGAUUGCUAAAUCACUUGGAAACUGACUUGAAAACGUAAAAACAAAGUUUAAAACACUAACUAGACUCAAAGAAUGCAAAACUAUACUUUAAAACACUAAAACAAACCAAAAGACUCAAAACAGCCCCUAAACACUCAAAAUUACCUUAAAAACACAAUCUGGGCAAUUUUGGGACUCUCACACAAACUUGGACAAAUUUUGGUUUUCUAAUGAACUAAAACACUUAAAAACAUAAUCUAAGACAAGUUCUAAUUAAUAUGACUCAAAGAAAUAAGAUGGGGUUGAUUUUAUUCGAAAAUAAUUAAAUUAAGACAAGAACAAAGUAAACAAAUUCUUAGACAAAUUUGGGUAAAUCAAAACACUCUAACACACAACCAAAACAGAAAUUAAACACUUUGAAACAAUAAAGUAAAAGGGGGAUUUUGGUUUUAAUGAAUUUGAAAACAAAACAAACUUUGUAAAACAAAACAGAUUGUAAGUGAAUUUGAAUGAAACUUAUGGAUGGAAGAUUAGCUAGGAGGUUCUUCUCCACAUAUGUCACACUUGCAUACAAAACGAUUUCCAGUUGCUUUUCGAUAAGCUAUGAAUACUCAAUGCCCCAAAUUAACCGUGAAUUGUACUAAUUAACCCUCAGUUUUUUCCACAAGUUAUUAGGUUGGAUGAUUGCAUACGACAACCCAAAACAUUCCCUACAAGUUCCCUACAUGAAUUGCAUAAUAGAGAUACAAGCAAGAAUCAUUAAGUUCUAUGAAAAACAUAAGCAUUGACGAGGCACUCGUUACUAUGAUUUGCAUGAAACUUAUGCCAAGAGUUUACUUAACGUGAUUGUGACUAGCAACCUUCACUACUUGUGAAUAUAAGUUUAUAACGAUUAGGUGAAACUCCCUUAUAUUCUAGCAUCAAAUUCAUGCAUGAAAAUUAAGCGUGCACUCUUAACCAACAUACACAAAUUAAUUUUUAUAUGAACGGAUAAGUAAAUUGAAUUCACAACUUAUGAAUCACAACUGGAUGUAAUCAAAUCAUAUUGCAAGUAUGAACAUAGUUUCGAAUCACCCCCUAACUAAGAGGGGUUUAGCUCCUCAUACUCACAAAGCAAAGAUACAUAAAAUUAGACAUUAAAAUCAAAGGAAAGAAAACACCUAAAAUGCUCCAACUUGGUAGCAAGUGCAUCCAAGAUUCCUCCUUUCCCUAUGCUUGCGGCAGAUUGGGUUAUGGACAGAUUUUGGGUAGUUUUAUGAUGUAGAAUGGAUGGGGAAUGGUAUGGAAGGGUUUAGGGUGAGUGUGGAGGAGUGUUUGAUGGUUGGAGGGUGGUGGAGAACUAGGCAAAGAGGGUGGAAGAAGGUGGAGUGGCUAUUAUGUUUUCUAGGCACUAGAAUGGUGUUUUUGGGGUGUUUUGCUUCCUAGGGUGUGUAUGGACGAAUUUUUGUGAUAAAAUGAUGAAUAUGGGGGAUUGUCCUUUGGCCAAGGGGUGUAAACAUGUAUUUAUAGGCCCUAAAAACCUUAGAAAAUCAGGUUAGGUUAAGGAUGAAAUGCAUGGCAAUUUGUGUGUGUGGUGUGCAAUGGUCCAAGGGUGAAAAUGAAGUAAUGAUGCAAAGUGUGAAGGGUAAAAUGGAGUGGUGUUGUAGCUAGGGAGCAUGAUGAAUGAUUGUGUACAUUGCAUAGAGAUGGAAAGGGAGGUGAAAUGUGUCAACAAAUGGGUCAAAGGUGCAACAACAUGUGUUGCACAUGGCAUUGGAUUCCAAAUGUGAAUGAUGGAGCAUCAAUUGGUGCAUGUAAUGGAUGUAAAUGUUGUCUAAAAUCUAAUGAGUGAAGGGAACAUGAGGUAUCAAGCAAUUGAGUGUAAUAAUUAAAUGAAUUGAAGCAUGAAAUUAGAAAUUAUGUAGGGGACAAGAGUGAUCAAGCAUGGCAUGGAAUCCAAAGGGAAUUCUAUGUGGUUUGCAUGGCAAGGAAUGCAAGUUGGGGUGACAGAUUUUUGGGCUGUUUUCUUCAUCUUUUGGACCAUAAUUCUUCAUAUUCUUGGCCUCUUUAGUUCUCAAAUUCGUCCAUCCACUUGGCCCAUGCAUUUGCUAUCGAUUCCAAGCCCGAAACAUGCUCCAAAGGCCUCCAAAAUGCAUCUUCUUGCAUACUUUGUACUUAGAGUCUGAAAACACACAAAAAUAACGAACACUAAAAUAACUAAGGAAAUACAACGUAAAUGCACAAGAACAAGCUAACUAAGUCGUAUAAAUAUGCUCCUAUCAGGUAUCCCUUUUCCAGGACUCCCCUUCAAAUAUCUUAAUAUUCUCAUAAUAAUAUUCAUAUGCUGCUCUCCAAGGUAAAGCAUGAACUGGAUGAUCACUCCUAAAACAUGUGCCAAAUCUGGCCUUAUAUGUGCUAAAUACACUAGUCGGACAACUGAUCUUUGGUAUCUGCCCUUAUGCUUGAUUCAGAUUUAUUCUAAGUUUUAAGCCUUAUUCUACUGGUGUAGCUAUUGGAUGACAAGCAUACAUCACAUUCUCUUGUAACAAAUCUAAAGUAUAUUUCCUUUAAGAUAGAAAAAUCCCUGAUUUAUUCUGAGAUACUUUGAUGUGUAGAAAGUACUUUAAUGCACCAAGGUCCUUCAUCGCAAACUCUGAAGACAGAUAUUUCUGAAGUGUCAAUCGUUCCUUGUCAUCGUCUCUAGUAACCACCGUAUCAUCUACAUAAACUAUGAGUGCUGUAACUUUUAUUCUUCAUUUUCGUUUUAUAAAUAGAGUAUAGUCUGAGUUACUUUGUUUAUAACCGAACUAUUUCAUAGCCUGUGUAAACCUCCCAAACCAUGCUUGAGGUGAUUGUUUAAGACCAUACAAGGACUUCAAUGGUCUGCAAACCUUCUUGCCUUCAGAACCUAGAAACUAUAUCCAAGAGGAAGAUCCAUAUAGACUUUUUCUUUUAACUGUCCAUGCAAGAAUGCGUUCUUCAAAUCAAACUAGUGUAAGGGCCAUUCAAGGUUCGUUGCAAGAUAUAAUAAAACACGAACAAAAAUAAUCUUAACAACUGGUGCAAAGGUCUCGUUAUAAUUGAUCUCAUACUUUUGUGAGUAUGCUUUUGUCACUACACUAGUCUUGCGUUAUAUCAAUCUAUGGAUCUAUAUGUCAAAUACUUUACUGUAAAUAUCCACCUGCAUCUUACUGACUUCUUGCCAGUUGGCAAACCAGCAAUUCGCCAAUUGUCUUUUAGGAUUGACAUUAGUGCAUUCAACUCCUCGUCCAUCGCGGCACUCCUUUUAGGAUCGACCAAAGCUUCCAGCAUACUGUUAGGAAUAGAUACAGAGGAUAAUUGACUUAAAAAUGCUUUAUUUGAUUUUGACAAAUGAUCAGUGGACACAUAAUUACUCAUUGGGUAUUUUUCUUUGCAUUUAGGAUCAGACUCAUAAGUGGGUUUUCAAAUACCUCAAUUACUUCUUGGUAGAAGCCGUGAUGGUGGUAACAGUAGUGGAGGAGAUUGUUUAUGGCUAUAAGGAUCAGGCACAAGGAAAACCGUUGGUAUCUAUGUCUCUGGCUGCACUGUUAGCUCAGUGCUAGCUACUGGUACUUCGAUGUUAACUGUCGAACUUGGGACUGCUUACUGAUUCCCUAUCAAGUGCUGGUAGCUCGAUGAUAAUAGUAACUAAGGUUGGAUCAUCACUAUAUAUAUCAACUAUUUCAUCAUCACCACAUCUCUCAACAGUAUCAGGCAAGACAUUAUAGUUAAACGUCUGCACUUCAUGUUUCCUCUUCCCCUAAAGUGAGGACUCAGGUGCUGGAUAAUACAUAACAAAAUUGAUGCACAACAUAUCUAUGGUGACAAAUUUCCUCUUGGUGGGAGGAUGAUAGCUAUGGUAUCCUUUAACAUAUCAAAAAACAUGUGGUAGGAGUACUCGGUGUAGGCGGUUCGGCAAUAAGUGACUAUAGAGUAUCAUGUGGAGUUUGGAAUCAAUAGUGGCAAACGGCACCCUGUUGAUCAAGUAAGUAGCAGAAAUAAGAGAUUCACCCCAAUAAGACAAUGGCACAUUUGAAUGAAGCAAAGACGCUCGAACCACAUUGAGAAUGUGUUUAUUUUUUCACUCAGCAACAACAUUCUAUUAUGGUGUAUACGAGCAAGAUGGACAAUACCAUGAUCAUCGAGAAAAGUUCAAAGAUCAUUAUUUACCUAUACUCUGCCAUUAUCACUAUGAAUUACUUGUACCUGUACUUUAUAUUGAACAGUCACCAUUUUAUGAAAUUUAUGAAAUAUAGAAAAUACCUUACUCUUGUUUUUCAUCAAAACAACCCACGUCAUGCAAGUACAAUAAUCAAUAAAAGUUACAGACCAAUGGACACCGCCUAAAGUAGUAAGCUUAGAUGGACCCUAGAAAUUAGAAUAAACUAACAUAAAUGGUACUGAACUUCUAUUCAAACUGGGUCAAAAAGAAACACGGUGGCCAUGAGUCAGUUCACAAACAUCACAAUUAAAGCUAGAAACUUUCGGAAACAAAUUCGGAGACAAUUUCUAAAAUAACCAAACAAGGCAUGUCUUAAACAAUGAUGUCUCAACCAAAUCUCAGACAUACAUUUCGGCUCCCUUUGAGAACUAUCAACCGACCAAGCUUGAGUUAAGCGACGAGUUCUCUCUGAUGUCAAGUAAUGUUAAUACAACUUCCCCUUCUUAGUUCCAUAACCAAUCGUCAUUCAAGUUUGAAUGUCCUUAAACACACAAAAAUGAGGCAAGAAGACAACCAAACAGUGUAAGGUAAUGGUUAUUUGAGCCACAUAAAAAUGACCAUAAGGAGGUGACGGAACCACAAGAAUAGUAACAAGGCUAAUGUUAUUUGAGCCACAUAAAAAUGACCAUAAGAGUAGGGGUGGCACCACCAUUCACUGUGGUAACAUCAAUCUAAGUAGAUGGUUUUAUGUUUCCAACAACUUUAGAAACAAAUGUCAUAUGUGCAACCAUGUUCUAAAAUAAGCUAGGCAUUAGUCGGGUGGUAGGCUAGGGCCUAGCCCUAGGUGGCUAGGGCCUAGCCCUAGGUGGCUAGGCGGGGCCUACGCGGGUGCCUAGGUGGACUAGGCAGAUUUAAGUAAAUAUUUUAUAUUUCAUGUAAAUAAGUGUCUGCUUAUACUUAAAAUAUAUAUAAUUUCAUCAUAAACUACAAAAUAGAAUGACAUACAUAUUAUGAAGUAUUGAAACUGUUGAUCCUAAAAACUACCAAGCCUACGUGGUGCGCAGGCCAAGUAAUUAGUAAGUUAAUUACGUCCUUCGGUUGUAUGCGGGGCGUGCUAACUCGUCGACCGAGCUCAGCCGAGGAGUAAAAUUUGUUGAUCUUGGUUUGGGUGCCCGACCGACUUCUGCGUCUU
rnacentral:lncRNA from 1 species